GAGAACAGUUCUUAUGGAGACACUUGGCGACACCUGUCGGGCAAGUGAUCAGCUGGAGCAGGUGUGUGUGAUGCUGUAUGGAGAAUGUUGGUGAGGAUGACCCCCCAGCGAGCUGCUCAUGGACUCAGAACCUGGAGGAGGAGGGCUGAAGAACCCCCCCACCCUCAAAAAAAAACAGACCCCCCUCCCCUGAAGACCAGCACCAGCUGCCUCCUCCUGCAGACCUCCUGCGGACCUUCAGCUAUAAACAAGCGCACAUUAAGCAUAUAAAACACAUAUGACAUGAGUUCUAACUGUGAUUAUCUUAACACACACACACACACAGACAGACACAUGCACAGCUACACACACGCACACACACGCACACACCUCAGAAGUCAGAGUUCAGGUGGUGUUCUUGGAAGUGUGUAGACAAAGUCCUUGUUACUGGGUGGGCCGGUUUACGGAGGGACAAAACACUGGCAUUCAGCUCUCUGCAGGGCCGUGUGGGUCCGUGUGGGUCUGUGUGCCUCAGAGUGUGUUCACGGUGUGUGUGUGUGUGUGCGUGUGUGUGUGCGUGUGUGUGUGUGUCUCUGUGUGUGUGUGUGUACCUCAGGGUUCAGCUGAAGGAUUUCUAGGAAAAUGCCUCUGCAGUCCCUCUUUGCAGAAACAUCGCACAAGUUUGAAAACACGAGACAGGCAAGAUGUAAAUAUUGUUGUGAAAAAGGAGCGAAGGUUAAUGGAAAUUUAAACACCACCAUUGUUCUUUCUUCUGUUCAUUUGUCUGCACACAAACACACACACACACACACACACACACACACACACAUGCAGGUGGAACCAGAGAACACGCUGCUCCAGCAAUGUGAUCCAUGACAUAAAGAUGCAUAUUGAUUACUUUAAUGGGAGACCAAAGAGUUUGUUUGGAUUCAUUGAAAGGAGCAGCUUCCUUUGAGUGUGUUACAUAAGAAGCAUGACAUAACCCCUCCCACGCACACGCACGCACACACACGCACACGCAAACACACACGCACACACACACACAAACACACGCGCACACACCUGAGUUAGAAACAGUUUGUCCUCAGAGUUACAAACAAACUGGCGAAGAGAGAUAAAAUAAAAUAAGGGGGAUUUAAGAUAAAAAGAUUCUGUAGAAAGAGUUUGUUUUAUUUGUCUUAUAAAAUCUUCUUUCUUCGACUAAAUAUAUUGGAUCAGAUGGAAAAUACACACAUCUGAGGUCUGUUUCAUAUUUCUAAAAAUAAAUGAUGUUUUCAGUCUUAAGAGCAGACAGAGAUUCAGUGAUAGAGACGUUGAGUCACACACACACACACACACACACACACACACACACACACAGACUCUGGAUCCAGAUGUUGCUGAUGAUGUCAUUGUCUCAAGACUUUCUCCUCAUGAAUCAUCAUCAUUAUCACACACACACACACACACACACACGACUAGACAAGGAAAAUGAGCAAUAAACAAGUUUUUGUUUUUCAUCGAUUUAAUGAAAACAAUGGAAUCAUGUAAUGAGAAUCUAACAUAAGAUUAUUUAACUUUGAGUGGAUUAUUGAUUUACUUGUGGUGUUGUUUUGUUGUUGAACCUGGGGUGACUCACUCCGUUACACACAGACACACAAAAGUAUUUAUAGGGUUAAAGGAGCCCAGCCUAAUGAUGCAUAGAUAGUGGUAAUCCUAGUAAUAGUCUUGUGGUAUUAUUUGAAUAAGUGGUAUUUACGGUGUGCCUACGUAUAAUGGGAAUAUUUAAAGUAGUAGUGGUACAGUGGGGGUAUUUAUAGUGGUAUUCAUAGUAAUAGCACAGUGGUAGUAGUUAUAGCGGUAUAUAUAAACAGGAGAAAGAGAUGAAGAAGCCGGACAUGACUCGGCAGAAACCCUCGGUUCUUGCUCACGAACCCCAUCUCAUCCCAGAUGUGUCACAGCUGCAUCGGCUCCCCGAUAACACGGCGGAGUUACUGACCGGGCAGUGAUGCCGUUACCUGGAAACGAGACUCCCCUCCUCCGCCGUAUGUUUUGAGAGGGAAACACCCCAAAUCAUGUACAGCCGCGUCUUUGUGCGGCCCAAACAGACGCCGUCAUGUGACCAGAAACACACAUGGCCGCGGCCAUGUUUGACCCCCAAUGUGAACACAGGGCAGUGUGUCUGUGUGUGUGUGUGUGUGUGUGUGCUACAGUAAUUAACUGACUCACAUCAUCACGUGGCUCUUUGGACCUUUUGUUCUGUAACUUCACUUCGAAUGCAAAACGAUAGGGUGGUUUUGGACUCGGUGUUAAGAAUGAAAACAAGCGGCAGCAGCGUGGCGGCGCCUUAAGGCGCGUUCACUGACUCAUUGACUGACACAACCUGUGACGUGUUCACAGCUCCUAAAUCACUUCAGAAGACGGUGUCUGAAUGCGUCACUGAGCGCAGUUUAAAUUUUAUUUCAUGGAGCUCCAGGUGAUUUUAGUCUUUAUUCCUCUUUAUUCCUCAAUCAUCAGCCGAUCCCUCCCCGUUAAGACAGGCUGUCAGUGCUUUAAAUCAGAUGUCGAGAUCAGCUCCUCUUCCCAAACGCACAAUGAAACAAUUGCAUUGUUAGCCCCUGGCUCAUUUAAAAUAUGUUUGCCGUUAUACCUUCAGUGCAUUCAUGACGCUGCUACGCAUCCACCCACCUCCCCAUCUACGUCUUCACUGGUUUAUCACUUAUCAUUCUACCAGCCUCAUCAGCCUCUAACGUUGAGCUAACGUUGAGCUAACGUUGAGCUGACGUUGAGCUGACGUGGAGCUAAUGUUGAGCCGCCGUUGAGCUGACGUUGAGCUAACGUUGGCCUGAGGUUAAGCUAACGUUAGUACAAGGAGCUCAAGCUCAUUGCGCUCACAUUUUGGCACAUUUCCUUUGAGGUAGAAAAUGUUGAUUAAUGUGCACUUUGGUGGUAAAUUAAUUCAUGGAUAGGAUCAGGAAAAUAAAUAAUUCAACCAUAAUAAAAACAAUGAACAUCCAAGUUGAGUUUUUAGUGCCGAGGAGCCGAAACGUGAACCUUUAAGAAGCGACGUUCACUUCCUGUUUGGGUUUUUUCAGUCAUGUCGUGUUGUUCUCUGAUUUGUCGCGUCAACAGAAGAAAGACAAACAUUGACCUUGUUGUCCCGACAAUCAGCCGUCGUUUAGCUAAGUUCAGCAUUUCAUAACUCUGCAGAUGGGCAUGGGAGCAAUUAGCGAGAGGCGGCGCUUGGGUCGCCCGGGUCGCCGUUAGCUUUAGUCACAGAAAUAUAAAUACGAGACAAAAAGCAGUUUGAAAGGAUGAAAAUAAGACUCGGUGGUGUCAUUAUGUAAUGAAUGUUGUUGGUCAGUCACAGUCACAUGCAGCCUCAUCAAUGCCUGUCUUUGUGUGUGUGUGUGUGUGUGUGUAGACAAAAGGCUGUCACAGCCAAUCAGUCCGUUUGUCCCCUGCAGCUGUUAGUCAGCACUUAAAGAGUCUCUGUGUGUCCAUCCAGAGAUAUAGAUAGCAGCAGUGCAGGGACACGUGGACGAGGAGACGCUCAAGUGUCCUCUGAAUAGACCGAGGGGAACAACGGAGCUUCAGUGCCGGGGGACAGAAACCCAAACUGGUCCCUCAGUGAAGAUCUUUGAGGUCCAGUUUAAAGGUCAAAGUUCAGAAACUAAAGAGACAGAGAUUUCUCACUUGUCUAAAAAAAACACAAUCACGUGAUCAUUCAUUUAUUAAACUCAAAGUUUUGUUUCUUGAACAGAAAAGACAUUUUCCAAUGUUGUGUUUCAUUUGAGUAUAUAUGUUUUGUGCAACUUUCCACUUUCUGUUAUUAUUUAAUGCAUUAAAUAACUAAAAUAUAACAACUAAAAAGAAUGCACUGUCAUACUGAUCUACUCUGUAAAGUCAAGUAGCACAUAAAGUGUCUAACACCUGCUUAACUUUAGUAAGCUAUAAUAUUAAAAUGCCCUUGUUCAUAUUUGUGAUGAUAAAUGAACAGUAUCAUUUUUUAUAAUGACAUUAGAUUAGACUUUAGAAGAUGCUAUUUUUGCAUCUUGAGGACUCGUUUCAAUGGAGCAUUUUUAUAAUUUAGAAUAGAGCCAGAUUAUUUCGGUAUCUCAAUUUUAUAUUGUAUUUUGAGCUCGAUGUAUUACCUGUAAUUAUUGUUUACUCAUGUUUUACAGUUACAUAAUACAUGUAUAUAUCAGGACUGCAGGAUGUGUAGAUGUGGCAGAAAUAACACAAAUUGUAAUAAAAUACCUUAAUUGACCGAGAGACAAGAGGUUUUCAAAGUGCUUUAGAUAAGAAAAUAAAGACAAAAUAUAUUUUUUUAAAUAUAUUAAAAUAUAUUAAACAAUAUAACAUGUGACAAUGAGACAUAACAGUAAAUCAACUGAUGAGGAGCUUCAGGUCAUUAAUAAAUAUAUUAUAGAUAAUGAACACGGUAAUAAAAUGUGUUUUAUUGGACAAGAAACUGAAAACAGAAAGUUGCGUCUCGUUAAAACUCGUUUUCAACAAGCGCUUUAAUUCAAUCAGAAACUUGUCAUGUGGAUUAAUGAGAGUUCGGCUAGCGUCCCUCAGUGUGUGUGUGUGUGUGUGUUAAUCCGCUCAGACAUCUGGUGUGUGUUUGUGUGCGUCUGUGUGUGUCUGUGCUCUGACAGCAGUGUACUCGGACAUUUUGGCUUCGUUCUCUGUUUGUUUUCAUGAUUAGAUAUGAAAUCAGCUGCUGAGACGUUCAGAUUCAUAUGGUUCACUUUAUGGUUCAUUCAACGUGAUUGUUGGGAGAAAAGAGUCUCAUAGGAGAACGUCAGAGUUGAUGACUGUUGUAUUGUUGCAGGUUAAACUUUUUUAUUUAAAGUUUUUAUUAGGUUCUGUUGUGUGGUUGUUGAUUCUGUGAGGAUCUUUAGUUUAGCAUAAACCCAUUUAACCCAUCAAAACCCAUAUAUAUAUCCAUCAAUAUAAAUCAAUAUCCAUCUUAACCCAUCAGUAUCCAUUGAUAUCUAUCCAGAACAGCACCGACAGAUACAAACACACACAUAUUGAAGUUCUAAAGCUGUUUUGCAAACACAUUUAAUCAUCACAAAACGACACACAUCAAUUGUGAUUGUUAGGCAGUUGUUAAUAUUUUCAUUGUUAGGUUACUCAUAUAUUUGCAGUAUUGUAGCUGUCUGAUAAGUCUCAUUUUAUGACAUAAUUAAACAGCCUCUUUACAUCAAAUCUGUGAUUCCUUUAUCUCCAAAAGUGAAAUGAAAUUCUGGAGGGUUCAUCCUCAGAGGAGCCCGACCGAAGGCGUCCUUCACCCAAACCAGCGUGAGCGGGUUUUUUUACAGGUUAAAAACUGCAACACGGGUUUGUUCCAAUGGGCUGUUCUGUUAGUGGGCACGUGUGUGUGUGUGUGUGUGUGUGUGUGUGUUUAUGUGGAAACAGUGGAAGCAGCUCACGACUCGGUUGAUUGAGUCGUUGAUUUAUUUUCGGGUUUUCUCCACAAGCUUAGAAGUCACCCCGUGGGCCUCGUUGCCUCAACCCUUAACCCCCCCAAACACACACACACACACACACACACACACACACACACAUACUGGGGGAGGCCUCAUGCUGGGUCAUCGCAUGGAGACCCCCCCCCUCCCCCCUGAGAUGGACCCCUCAGCAGCAGACUGGGGAUUCCCAAACAACGCUGCGUUGCUACGGUAACCUGACUAGCUGAGAGUACACACGAACACGUGGACCCACACACACGCACACACUCGGCCCUGUAUUGUUUCCUCUGCAGUGAAAACACAGGUUAUUACUGAAAUACAGACGCCAGAUUGACACAGCUGACCGUUUGUUAAGCCCCGCCCCUCUUUGUAACCCUUUUUGGAUCUGCAAAUUGUUUUAAUAUCCUCAGUUUCAAAGCUUCAUCUACAACUUUUAAACAGAUGAGCUAUGAGCAGAGUUCUAGCAGUUGUUAAUAAUAAAACAAAAUAAAAGCUACAUUUGUUAAAAUAUCAAUUCAAACCAGACUGUUUUAGUUUAGAAGCUGUGAUUUCAAUUCUGGUUCGUAAUUAUUUUCAUUAUUAUCAACCCGGGAUUUUUCUCCUAAAAAAAAACAAGUAAGCUUUAAGUACGUUAUAGUUCACAUGUGCGACUACCUCGUCAUUUCUUGUGCUGAUUGUAAACAUACAUGUUACAACCAGAGUGUUGAAACUAAAAUAAACGUUGUUGUGUAGAAUCCAACAAAUAACUGGUUCAUACAAGAGGAAGAUGAGCUUGGAGAAUAACAUUAAAUAACUGACCUAUCAUCUUCACGUGUUCUUCACUGUGGACAUUCAUUCUUGACCUUCGACCUACUGGCUUUUUCUUCUCUUCUCUUACUUAGUUUAUUGUUCUGCCCUUUUGUCAUUUUAUUAUCAUAGAAGAUAAAACAACACGAGGUAAGACGUGGUUUAUUGUCACAGUGGGAACAAUAGGGCCACAUUCAGCUUAAAAACAAUACUUAUCUAACAAGAUAGUAGAGAAGUCCAUGAAAGAAGCAUAACAACAUACCCUGUAAAUUACCAAAAUAAACACUAUCAGAUGUUUGAGAAAACAUUCAGCAUUUCUGGAAACAAGACGAUCGCUUCUCAGUCUGUGACUGCAGAUGAUCUCAAUGACCAAAUAAGGAAGCAGGUUGUUAGAACAUUAAGUGUGCGUGUGUGUGUGCGUGUGUGUGUGUGUGUGUGUGUGUGUGUGUGUGUGCAUUUGUUUAAAAGGAUUAGAUAUUUUACUGGAAAGAUUUUCACAGUGAGCUAGAACAAAGGAAGUGUGGCAGAAGGUCAAAUGCUUCAGGAAUGUUAAGAAUGAAGAGGGAGCUUCUCUGGAAACAGGAUUUCUCUCUCUCUCCCCCCCUUGUCUGUCUCUCUCUCUCUCUCUCUCUCUCUGGCAGUCUGUCUGUCCCUCUCUCUCCCCCCCUUGUCUCUCUCUCUCACCCCCCCUUAUCUGUCUCUCUCUCCCCCCAUUGAAUCAUUUAAAAUUAACUACUAAUAACUAAUAAAAUCCACAUGAAUCAUUCAAAAUAUGUAAAUAAUUGCAGCUGCAUUUUCGGUGGCCCUUCAUAAGACAACUUUUAUGCACAACAUGUGUGAGAUAUGUGACAUAUAUAUAUACAUAUAAAUAUAUGUUUUCCAGAGCUGGAAGAAGUACUGCGAUCAGUUUAUUUAAAACGUCUAAAGUAUUAACGUGAAAUAAUAUAUAUUUAUUAUUGAAACAUUCAUCUUACAGCUCUUUUAAUACAUUUAUAUCAUUUUUAAUAAUAUUUCACAUAUAAUACAAAUAUGUGGAGUGACUAAAUAUAUUAAUAAAAAUACAUCUGGAGCAGUUAAAUACAAUAUAAACUUCUUAGAUGCAUGAAGGAGAAGUAGAAAGAAACAUAAAAUCACACAGUGUAGGCAGGAUACUUGAGUAACUGUAAUAGUUACUUUCCUUGCAGCCGGUUCAACAUCUGGUGGAAAGACUGAAACUCUGCUUGUUUUCCUGUCAGAGCUGCAGAGACACAACUCCAUAUAUGGGCGUAGAUGAUGUCACCGUCUGUGCACCAGCAUAAGCCAAUUAGAGCGGGUCAGCAGCGCGCCGAGACUCCGACCUGAACCUGGACCAGACUGAGAGCACAGGACGGCCUGCUCUGCUACUGCACACACACACACACACACACACACACACACACACACACACUGGUGCUGCAGGGAAAUUCUAUCCGGAGAACUGUUUGUGCUGGAAUACCAUCACAUGUCAUGACACAGGAAUGCAGCGCUCUGAUCUGAAACCAGACAGCGAGUCCUGCAGAGACCACCGGAGGUCCCGCCUCUGCCUGCAGACUUACUGCAACACAGCGCCUAUUACCCAUGAUGCACCAUCGCCGUGAACCCGGACCUGCUUUCUCCAUCUGUUUGUGUCUGUUCUGGUGCUUCAUGUCUAUCUUACCUCAUCGCUAUAUCACAUCUUCAACUCAUCUCUAGUUCAUGUCUAUCUGAAACCAGACAGCGAGUCCUGCAGAGACCACCGGAGGUCCCGCCUCUGCCUGCAGACUUACUGCAACACAGCACCUAUUACCCAUGAUGCACCAUCGUCGAAAAUCAGAUAAAGAUGAGACAUCUUUAUCUGAUUUUCACCUUUAUCUCGUUCUCCACCUCAUCUCAUCUCAUCUCAUCUCAUCUCCAUCAUUAUAUGUUUUUUUAAUGAUUUGCUCAGUUCGUUUGGAUCAGGAAAUGUCUUGAUAGAGAACUUGUUGGAUCCAUAAAACGUUCUUAUGUCAUUAACUGUGAAAGACAAGCAUUAUGUGAACGUGAUAUCAUGCUGGGGGGGAUCUCAGUGGACGCGGGGUGAGGGGCGGGGCUUGUACCUGGGCAGGACGCCAGCCUGUCACAGGACCGACGCGGGGACAGACGGUUCUUCGCAGUGUGGGAACAUGUUGACCUGAUUCACUGACCUGCAUGAGUUUGGACUGCAGGAGAUACAAGGAGAGCAAAACUCCUCAAUGAAGGGCCCAAAAUAUGAAAACAAUGAUUGAACCUGUGCAGCAAUUUAUGCCCCAAUUAGUAACCAACAUCAUUGAAAUCAGUGAAGUUUCUAAAGGUGCGUCACUAAUUCACCGUCUAAUCUCACCAGUCAGCGUUCAACCCUCUGACCUGUCAAUCAUUGAAUCCCGCCUGGCUGCAGAAACAGGAGCUGCACAACCAAAAGUGCUGCUGAGGUCACGCUGACAUGGUGGAAACACAACGGAGAGUUUCUGCUCUGCACAAACUUCACAAGUGCACCUUCACACGCAGAUGGUGGGUUUCAGGUGUCACAGACGUGGGAGUUUAGAUUUGAGUCGGGUUUCAGUUACAAUUCUAGUUUGUUUAUAAGGUGUGAAAAGGGCAGCAGAUAUAAAGAGAGAGGGAGAGAGAGAGAGAGAGGGGGGGGGACAGGACAUUCCCGCAACUUAUGCAACAAGCUGCAAACACUCACCUGUGGCCUCAUGGGAAAUGUAGUGCACAUCAGCGUCACAAGAAUAAACCCAGAGCGUCUGAUGCAUUCAAGUACAACGUGAGAGCGUAAGACGUUAAAACAAGUUGGCUCGCUGGACUCGUGUAAACCUGAGGACCGAGACGUGAAGGGUGGGACGGAAAAGAGACGUCCCUGUCCUCCGGUGUCCUUAAGAAGCAGGCCGCACUUCUAUAUAUGCAGGAUUAUAUACAAUCUUCAUAGUUUGGGAUUUGUAGCACAACAUAAAUGACUUUAACUCAUGUAACAACUUAAUAAUUAAUCAAUAAUUAAAUUCACCGUAAGAUUUUGAAUUUUCCUUUGUUGUGUUUGUUAUGUUUUGAAAGUCAGAACUCUGUACCGACGGUCCGUGGUUCUCCAGGGAAGCCGAGCUGCUGUUCAGGCUGUGGGGGUCUCAGGGUCUCAGACAGGCAGCAGCUGGUCCAGCGAGGCAGCAACCGGGGGGUGAUUGAGACGGGUUAGGGGGGGGGGGGGGACGGACGCACAAUUAGCAGCCUGGACCGGCGUGCUGAGGACGGAGAGCGUUUGGGAAGCGCUCCUCUUUAACAUCUGUUGUUCUCAUGUCAUGUGACCCCCCCCAUCAUCACUAAUGAGGACAGACAGUCUCCUCUUCAUUCCUCCGUCUGCUGUCAACAGACAGAAACGUCACAAACGGCUGAUUAAAAAAUACUUCACCUCGUCAUUAUUCUCAUAAUGUUGUUUAUGUUUGUCACCUUUAAACUGCAUGUUUAUUUUUUAACAACUUUGUUUUUGCACAUUGACUCGUGAUUCUUGCCGUUUGUUUGUCUCCUGAGGAUCCAGAGCUCUUUGUCCUCCACAUGGAGACGUGUGCAGCAGUGCAUGCUGGGACCGCUUCCUGUUUCAUGCUGAUGGCUGAACAGGAAGUGAACGACACACAGGAAGACGCAUCAGAGAGUCUUCAACGUCUUCCAGCUGGGAAUGAGACUUAAAAUAAUAAAACAGUUUUAUUUGUCCAGCACCUUUUAAAAACAAAGAACAAGAAUCCCCCCAAACCUUUAUUCUCACUUAAUCACGCUUCCCGACGCGACUGUUCUCAUCCUCGGAAAAGUUACUCCAGAUUCCUGCUCGCUAGAUGAGUAAUUAUUUUCAAAAUAAACUACCGUCUUCACAGGAAACUGCAUUUGGAAUAAGAGGGUUGAGUUCCAAUAAAUACAGAAGUACAGAGUGUCGAUAAGAAGAAGACGUCUCUUCUUGGUUUGUGACGUUUUGAAGCCUCACGUUCGUCUUUUAGCCGUCGCCAUCUUGCUUUUAAAACAAAUGAACAGGAAGUCGCUCAUUCGUAGUGAGGACGAGCAAUGCAGAGACGCCGUUAACCUGUCAAUCACUGUUGAGCCCCGCCCCAAAGCAUCCCCUGCUUUAACGUAUUUGUCCCUAAAUGGACCGCGGAGACCAUGAUAAGAGACAGUUAUCUGCUGGAGGACAGAUCUCCGUCGGUUGGACACGUCUCACUUCACUCUUUGUGUGAUAUAAACACACAGAACAAAGUCCCCGUCCCCUCCUGUGAAGCUCAAAGACAGCAGCAGGACUUUAACGUCCAGGUGUCUCGUGGACAACAACUCUCCCAUCACUGCGUACAGUGUUAACGUCUUCCUGUCUUUGUCCCAGAGAGACGUGAGUGAGCCCCGUCCUCCUUCAGGACAGGGACUGAACCUUUCCUUGACUCCGACUCUGGUCCCCUCCUCGCCGGUCCGUCCCCCCUCGGUCCUCCUCUCCGCGCCGCUCAUUGUUGUCCCAAUGUGAACGUCUCUCAGGUCGGCUCGGACGGGACAAUGGUCUUUUGUCCUCGAGCGGAGAGCACUUCCUCCCCUCCUCCGUGUCCUUAGCGGCCCGUCGCCGCAGCACAAACGAGCCGCUGACAAACCCGAGGACGGCCGGGGGACAAACGUCCCCGAGGCGGACAAUGAGCCGCAGCUGGAAUGUGAAAUAAUGAUGGCGGCAGACAUCCUGCUCACGUUCUCUGUCUCCUUCUGUCCCUCUCACUUCGUCUCACACCCAUCAAGACAAAUGUCCCGUUUGUUGACAUUCACAGGGACCGCGACCUGAAGCUGAGAGGAAGAGAUCAGUGGACAGACACCAUCCAAGGACGAGAGGCAAUAUGAGGACACGUACUAAUAUACACAGCAAGUAUUUGAUAUGUAACGGUCCUCAGGAGACUCUUUGAUGUAUCAAAAUAACAACUGUGGUCCUCUUAUUUAUUCAACCAUUGAAAAGGAUUCAAACACACAGUUUGGUGCAUGUUUGAAAUGCUGCACGCACACAGACAGACACACACAGACACACACACACAGACGCACACUGGGUGUUUCCUCUGAAGGCCGUCUGAGGCCUCGUGGCCUGCGGGUUUGGAUCAAAGACUCUCAGGUACGGAAUGUCCUCAACUGUCGGACUGUCUUCUGACGGGAGAGAAGCUUCGCUGCGUUCGCCCGUUCGGUCGCCGCAGAGGUCACGUGACGGACGGCGCUGGCGUCACGCCGGGUCUCCUGCG
ensembl:lncRNA